GCAAUUUGGCAACUAGUGAGACCCUGUCUCAAAAUAAAAUAAAAAGGGCUAGGAAUGUACCUCAGUGCAAAGGCUAUAAAUUCACCCCAUAGUACGACAACAAAAACUGGUGGAUGGGGCCAGGGGUUUAGCUCAGUGGCACAGCACCUGCCUGGCAAGAAUGAGGUCCUGAGUUCGAUUCCUGGUACCCCAAAGAAAAAAUGGUGGCAUGCAAAUUGUGAAUAGAGACAUAAGUAUAGGGCCAUUUUAAUGUUGGGAUGACAACUCUAUUUUCUGCUAGUUUUCCCAUCCUUAUUCUCUGGCUUUCAUUGAGUAUUCUUGGUAGACUCACUGACCAAACAGUAACAAAACUUGUAAGAAUGACUUUACAACACCUUUUUUAGUUCUGUUUGUUAGCAAAUCUAAAAAGAGAUGACUUGCUACUAACUGACCUCCCCAGUCUGGCAAAUGAAAUAUUGACUGAAAUAGAUAGGGUUAGAGAACUUCAAAAACUGCUGAGAAAGGGCUAGUGAUGUAGAGUGCAUGAGGUUCUAUAGCCAGCACCACUGGAAAAACAAGGUCAAGGUGUGGGUGUUGCUGCUUGUGUUUUCCAACUGCAGAGACAAAGUGGAAAUGAUUGCCUCCUUCCACAAGGACGAGUACCAGUAGUGUGGAUGUCAUUCGGGUCACAGUGCUGUGGAAUUCUCUGGUUCUGAUCCAUGUCAUUCUGUCGCCACUGGUGACCAAGUGUUUCAGAUGAGUUAGUGGGAAAGAAUGCCAGAUCCACAUUGCUUUUGAGAAUUCGCACCCACCCAUGUCCGUGAAGUAGCCCUUGGUUACCAUGACAACAUAAUCAAGAAAUGAAUAGUCUCCAAGAGGCCCCGGCAGCAGUUUUUCAGGAAGCAUUGAACUCAGGACGUUGUGCUUGCCAGGCAGGUGCUUAUGCCACUGAGCUAUAUUUCCAGUUCAAGAAUUGACUUUCAGAAGCAAGAACUGAGUCUUUUACAUUUCUAUCCAUCCCAGCACCUCCAGAGUAGGUAUUCAGCCAUGCUGGGAAAAGCUCCCGUUCCCGCCGACAUCCUUGCUCUGUGCCCACCUUUCCUUUGCAACUGCUCGGACCACCUUCACAGGCUCCAGGAAGCUGCUGCCACAUGGACACCCUGCACUCAGACAAGGGCCCAGCAGGAAAGUGCACCCACCCACAGAUGUCCUGGAACACUCCGCCCACAAUGGUGCCCAAGGUACCCCCAGUUCAUGGACUUUCACAGAGGAAGUUGUCAAUCCUGGCCCGAGGUACCCCCAACUGCAUCCCCCAAAUCCUCCAGCACUGACAGCCUCCAGCUGUCAGCCUGCCCCCAAGGCUGGCAGGCACCAGCUCCUGGCAGAGGGGCCAGUGUGUAAUUAAAAACUUUGCA